AAUGAACGCUGGCGGCGCGCCUAAUACAUGCAAGUCGAGCGAGAAGACGUAGCAAUACGUUUGUAAAGCGGCGAACGGGUGAGGAAUACAUGGGUAACCUACCCUCGAGUGGGGAAUAACUAGCCGAAAGGUUAGCUAAUACCGCGUACGCUUCUUGGACUUCGGUUCAGGGAGGAAAGCGAUGCCGAGGGUAUCGCGCUCUUGGAUGGGCUCAUGUCCUAUCAGCUUGUUGGNGAGGUAACGGCUCACCAAGGCUUCGACGGGUAGCUGGUCUGAGAGGACGAUCAGCCACACUGGCACUGCGACACGGGCCAGACUCCUACGGGAGGCAGCAGUAAG
rnacentral:rRNA from 1 species